rnacentral:rRNA from 1 species
UACGGAGGGUGCGAGCGUUGUCCGGAAUCACUGGGCGUAAAGCGCGCGCAGGCGGUUCUUCAAGUCAGUGGUGAAAGCCCGGAGCUCAACUCCGGAAUUGCCAUUGAAACUGUAGAGCUUGAGGAUGAGAGAGGUGAGUGGAAUUCCCAGUGUAGAGGUGAAAUUCGUAGAUAUUGGGAAGAACACCGGUGGCGAAGGCGGCUCACUGGCUCAUUUCUGACGCUCAGGCGCGACAGCGUGGGGAGCAAACAGG